rnacentral:misc_RNA from 1 species
AAGACUAUAGACCUGCGGAGUACCUGCGGAAGGAUCAUUACCGAGUUUUCAACUCCCUAACCCUUCUGUGAACCUACCUAUCGUUGCUUCGGCGGACUCGCCCCAGCCCGGACGCGGACUGGACCAGCGGCCCGCCGGGGACCUCAAACUCUUGUAUUCCAGCAUCUUCUGAAUACGCCGCAAGGCAAAACAAAUGAAUCAAAACUUUCAGCAACGGAUCUCUAGAUCGGAAGAGCACAC